rnacentral:rRNA from 1 species
ACUGCUCAGUAACACGUAGUCAACCUAACUCAUGGACGUGGAUAACCUCGGGAAACUGAGAAUAAACCACGAUAGAUCAUAGUGCCUGGAAUGGCUUAUGGUCCAAACAGUUUACUGCCAUGGGAUGGGACUGCGGCCUAUCAGCUUGUUGGUGAGGUAAUGGCCCACCAAGGCGAUUACAGGUACGGGCUCUGAGAGGAGAAGCCCGGAGAUGGGUACUGAGACACGGACCCAGGCCCUAUGGGGCGCAGCAGGCGAGAAACCUUAGCAAUGUGCGAAAGCACGACUGGGUCAGUCCGAGUGAUUCCUGAUAAAGGAGUCUUUUGCUUGUCCUAAAAGCACAGGUGAAUAAGGGGUGGGCAAGUCUGGUGUCAGCCGCCGCGGUAAUACCAGCACCUCGAGUGGUCAGGACGUUUAUUGGGCCUAAAGCAUCCGUAGCCGGCUCUGCAAGUCUUCGGUUAAAUCCACCUGCUCAACAGAUGGGCCGCUGGAGAUACUACAGAGCUAGGGAGUGGGAGAGGCAGACGGUAUUCAGUGGGUAGGGGUAAAAUCCUCUGAUCCAUUGAGGACCACCAGUGGCGAAGGCGGUCUGCCAGAACACGUUCGACGGUGAGGGAUGAAAGCUGGGGGAGCAAACCGGAUUAGAUACCCGGGUAGUCCCAGCUGUAAACGAUGCAAACUCGGUGAUGCAUUGGCUUAUGGCCAAUGCAGUGCCGCAGGGAAGCCGUUAAGUUUGCCGCCUGGGAAGUACGGACGCAAGUCUGAAACUUAAAGGAAUUGGCGGGGGAGCAC